rnacentral:miRNA from 1 species
ACAGCCUUUUUGAGCCAGGAUCUGUGUGGGGAGCUGCAGAGAUAAAUAAGACAUAGUUUCUGCCCUCCAGGAGCUCACAGUCUAG